AUUGAACGCUGGCGGCAGGCCUAACACAUGCAAGUCGAAAGAGUGGCGGACGGGUGAGUAAUGUCUGGGAAACUGACUGAUGGAGGGGGAUAACUCCUGGAAACGGUAGCUAAUACCGCAUACCAUCAGAUGUGCCCAUAUGGGAUUAGCUUGUUGGUGGGGUAACGGCUCACCAAGGCGACGAUCCCUAGAUGGUCUGAGAGGAUGACCAGCCACACUGGAACUGAGCAACGGGACAGACUCCUACGUGAGGCAGCAGUGGGGAAUAUUGCACAAUGGGCGCAAGCUUGAUGCAGCCAUGCCGCGUGUAUGAAGAAGGCCGUCGGGUUGUAAAGUACUUUCAGCGGGGAGGCGUUACCCGCAGAAGAAGCACCGGCUAACUCCGUGCCAGCAGCCGCGGUAAUUC
rnacentral:rRNA from 1 species